rnacentral:rRNA from 1 species
UCCCUUAGUAGGGCGAGCGAAUAGGUAUAAGCCCAGCACUGAACCUCGUGUCUCCGGAUACGAGGAAUGUAUUGUUCAGGAGAGAGGUGGUUUGCCUGUCCGGUGAUUGUCCAAUCCCCAUGAUGGGGUAGAGUCCGAGAGGGUGUCAGGCCCGUAUGACGCACCGCGACCGUGAACGCUUGAUCUCCUAAGAGUCGGGUUGCUUGAGAGUGCACCCCUAAGGGGGAGGUAAACUCCUUCUAGGCUAAAUAC